GUGGGGAAUCUUCCGCAAUGGACGAAAGUCUGACGGAGCAACGCCGCGUGAGUGAUGAAGGUCUUCGGAUUGUAAAGCUCUGUUAAUCGGGACGAAAGAGCCUAGUGUGAAUAAUGCUAGGAAGUGACGGUACCGGAAUAGAAAGCCACGGCUAACUACGUGCCAGCAGCGGCGGUAAUACGUAGGUGGCAAGCGUUGUCAGGAAUUAUUGGGCGUAAAGCGCGCGCAGGCGGAUCUGCCAGUCUGUCUUAAAAGUUCGGGGCUUAACCCCGUGAUGGGAUGGAAACUACAGGUCUAGAGUAUCGGAGAGGAAAGUUGAAUUCCUAGUGUAGCGGUGAAAUGCGUAGAUAUUAGGAAGAACGCCAGUGGCGAAGGCGACUUUCUGGACGAAAACUGACGCUGAGGCGCGAAAGCCAGGGGAGCGAACGGGAUUAGAUACCCGUGUAGUCC
rnacentral:rRNA from 1 species